rnacentral:lncRNA from 10 species
CUUAGGAGCCCUGAUAUUUAAAUGAAUGAAUUCUGAAUCUAUAAAUGUCCAGACAGAAAUGGGUAGUGAUCCACAUGAUUUAGUAAAGCCUCAAAUGAUUCUACUGUUUUCAGAACUCCUAUUUUAUUAUCAACUGCAAUGUAAUGUGUAAAAUAAGUGUACAAGUCAUUAUCUAACUCCAAUAGAUGACCCCAGAUCUUCAAGAAAUGCAUUAUAUUAUUCUCCAAAGCAUGUGACUGAAUUGAAGCUGCCUAGAUAUGAGUUAAAAACAGAAAACAGCAGUAACUUUACAAAUUUUGAGAGAUAGCAGAGUGGCAAGAUAAUUGGAUUUGGGAUUAUAAAACAUGUCACCCCCACUCUGCCAGUUAGCUGUUGUGGACAUUGAAUAAAAUCCCCUGAACCUUGGUUUCCUAACUUAUAUAGUGAAAUACUGGCAAUACCUACUUUGUGUUUCUCAGUUUUGCUGAGAAGGUCAACUGAGAGAACAUGAAUGAAAAUAUUUUGUCAACGAGACAUUAAUAGUAGCAUAGUGGGAAAGAGUGAAUGCUAAGAGUGAAUGCUAUGGACUCAGGCUCCUUGUUUUACAAAGCAGCUCAACCACUCUGAUCAGGGCAAGAGACACAACCUCUUUAGGAGCUGGGCUUCUUGUGUAAAUGUACUUACCUUAAAGAAUCAGUGAGGUCAUGGACUGAAAAAUUGAAAACUUUCAUAUCAAGUACUAGAUGUGUACCCUGGAAAGCACUCUGUGGCCAGGCAUGGCAAUGUGAGGGCAACUUGCACAUAAUAGCUGUACUGUGCGUGCUCAACUUGGGCACCAGGCCAAGGACUCCUCUCCAUUUACGUUGACAGACAUGUGUGUGUGUUGAUCUGCUUUUUAUAUUUCCUUGCAUCACAGUGGUUUGGCC